AGGCUGCUAUGGCUGGAUCAUACAGAACAUGGAGGGGAACAGAAUGCAAGAAUAUUGGAAAGAUUGGACAAUCUUGGAUCCCACACAAGACAAAAGUCAGGAUGACUGGCAAUGGCCCAGCAUACAAAGGAUGACCUUGGAAUCUUCGAUGUCUGACCAAGCUCUAAGUGCUCUCACCUUCACGGCCAAUGCAACAAACUAUUCUCAUGUGCCCAUUCUAUCUGGGGAAGUCUUCACAUGCUUGGGAUUGCUUUCCUGCCUACAUCCUGUGCAGUGAAGACAACUGAACAUUACUUCUUUUCUUAAGGAUCCUAAAGACUAUCAGGACAAGUAUAAAAAGCUUCAAGACAUGCAUCAUCCAUGGGUGGCUUUCUUGGACUACCAGGCUGAAGGAAUUUCUGAAUCCUUGGGAGUU